rnacentral:lncRNA from 1 species
UCUCAUUCAGAUUGUACCACAUAGUUACCAAAAAUAUACCCCGACAAUUUCAGCAUACAAAGGUAAGGUCGUAUAACAUUGUAUAUAACAUAUUAAUAACACAGUAAUAAGGCGUGAUUUGCCUACUCACCUCUGUAGCAAUAACCAUCAGUCUUUGACGCUGAGAAGAGUUUGCGCCUGUCCGUCGAAAGUCAAUUUCCUCUCGCUCGAGGUUGUUGAUUUACAACAAUGUCUCUCAGCAUCACGACUGAAAACUCAGCUUACGCAUAUCUUUGCAAAUCUUUUUUUUGAAAUGAACCUCGGAGCUUCUUGCAUGCGUUCCGUUAACGCAGUCACGUUCUUGGUUGUCUGUUGAAUUGACCUAUUAGGUUUAGGGAGGAUUGGAGAGUAGCUCGAGGGUGAGAGAAGUAGGCUAGCCUACAAGGGCGGUUUGCCAAAUGUGUGAGUGGAGCGCAGCGCAGCAUCUCCCUGCUUCUAUUUCUUGCUCUCUAAGUCUCUGGCAGUCCCAUGGGAAAGCGAUGCAGCUGAUACUGCCGACACUGCCAGGCAACCGCUACAGUAAUAGUUCGUGCUUCAAAGGUCUGGAAACCGCAAGCAUUCAGAAGCAGCCACUAAGGUUAAGCCAGGGUUCAAACAACAGCCAGGUCAAAAAAGGCAGUGCCACGCAGGCCAGGGGUUAGCAGGAGGAGUCAGUGUUGGUACACAGCCAUGCCUGGCUCUGAAUCCAACCACCGGGAGACCAGAGGAGGCUGUAGACCAGGCUGCCAUCCAUCCCCAGAGACAGGCAAAGAUAUAAGCUUCGCCUGGGGCAAGGGAGUGGACGUGCGCGUGACAAACCGCCUGCGGGUCCCGCUGACACCGGACAACUUGCAGUCGCUUUCCUUCAGCAUUCCGGGCCUUCACACGCGACUCAACACACCACUGGAACAUGUAGGCCUGUUUCACUAUGGCCAUUUACUGGUGUACAACCUGCCAUCGGUGCCUGCCGACAAACCAGACGAAGACAGUGGGGUUUCCCUCGCUCCUCCAUUGAGCUGCUUUUAUUUGGGAGAGGACGGUGGAGAGGUACAGGGCUCAGCACGAGAUGAUGCGCCCGCGGGGAUUGUCUCAAACUCUGUCUCGCCGGAGGGUAACUGCUUGUAUUCAGCAGGACAACCUGAAGAUUCUCCAGUAAUAGACUCUCCAGAUUUGAGAGGCAGUGACGAGCAGUCUCUGUGCAGCGGUUCAGAGAACUUCUACACAUGUCCAUCUGCAGCCUCUCAGGACUCCGUUCCGUCCCCUUGGAGUGCUCAUUGGGCGUCAGCCGCCAUGUCCCCGCAUUAUGGGUCAGGGUCAUCACCAAACCUGCCUAGCUCCACACCGACCAGCGAAGAUCAUAGUGACAGUAAUGAGCUGUUGUCGGUGGAGUUCAAAGGGCGACGCUACGUGCGUGUCCUGUCCCGGGUCAAGCCUAGGACAGAUGAAGACGUGGAGGCCAGUUGGACGGUGACAGACUUCACGAAGCGCGGGGAGCCCGUGUUCUCUCUGCGGCUUGACUUCAUGCGGCCCCGACCACCCUUACCCCGGUGGAUGGAGGGCAUAGCAGAGAGGUACUGGUGAUGAUGAUGGGCUUGACAAGAGCUGGACAGUACAUGCCAAUUUUUACUGAUCUGCCUCCAAUGUUGAGAAACAUCUGACCAAUUCCCACUGUCAAAUAAACAAACUCCA